rnacentral:lncRNA from 7 species
UUUCCUCCUUACUAGACUGCUGGAUUUGGCAUUUAUUCAAAGGGCAAGGGCCCACCCAAUCACCCCGCAGGGACUUGCCCAAUGAAAACACCUCUCUACUGCAAGCCUGCAACCUCUUGCAAGUGAGCGCACAGCUGAGGAAGCAGGGGGAGAAAUGAUUUCCUCUAGACCCUCUCUUUUGCAGCUCUUCAUUAAAUUACAUCUGUGUGCUCAUUUUCUGCAGACUUUUUUAUUUCAUGCAGCAUAGGUGGGAUGGCUGUAGAUGCGCUGAAAAGUGUGGAUGAGAACCUCAGGCAGGAGCUGCUUUACUGCCACAUUCUUCCAGGGCAGAGAGGGGCUGAGGAGAAGGUACAAAUUAGGCUCCACACUAGCCCACUGACUACGUGGACACUGUGUGGAGCAGAGCCAGGGCAAGGGGCAGAGAACAGUGCCUCAGCAUCAGAACCUCUCUCCCUUUUCACAAAGCUAUCAGCUCUGGCAAUUCAUCCCACAGCUCAGUAUUUACCAGGGGAAGAGAGAGAAUUUAAGGAAUAAAGCUUCAAAUGAACAUUUGUCGCAGAAGAGCUGCAGUGAUUUUCCACAUCUUCAGCCUCAAAUAUUUUCAGCUUGGCUGUGUGGCAGGAACGUUUUCUUAGCACUGUUUUGUAUCUCUGCCUUAACCCCUAAUCCCUUAGUAUCUGUGGGAAACUCUGUGCUGAUAAGCCCUGUUGAUUAAUAGACGCA